CCAAGUGUUUAUGUGUUGGAGUAGUGGGGCAUUUUGGGAAAGAGAAGGACUGAGUGAGUAGUACCUCGGCUGGACUGUCCCUGUUGCGUUUUGGUACGAAGAGGAGGAAGAAGUGUGCAUGGAAAAGGAGAGAAGAAGAAGAGGGAAGGAAAGGGGAGAGGUUCAGGGGUGACAGGAGGAUGGCUUCAUGGCUUUCCCUGCGCUGAAUCUCCACACCCGCCUUUCUCUUCUUUUUCUGUUUUGCCUGAUUCAGCUGAGCGAGUGAAGCAGACAAGAGGAGUUUGAAGACUGAAAAAGAGAGAAAUCAAGCCAAUUUUCUUCUUUCUGUUUUUUAAAGCUGGGAUUUUGGCUGCCUUACAAACAGAUGUUGCUUGUCAUUUGCUUGGGUAGCAGCUUGUAGAGGCAGAAAGAUUACGUCCCGCUUAUUAUUAUUACCAAAGCGCGGUAAACCGAAAUUGUAAAAACACAAAAAAUCUGGUUUUCUGUUAUCGUUUACUUUUUCCCCUCCUUUUACUAUCUUCCCCCCUCACCAGUUUCUCUCCCUCAUCCUUCUUUUGCUUUUGUCUCACUCUUUCCCACCCUCUCUCGAGCUCCCUUUCCUUUUCUUUCGGGUGGUUUUGUUACUGUAGUUGUAUGUUUGAGCGUCUUUUUUGGUUUUUUUUUUUUUUUUUUUGUGGAUGGGCCACUGUGGACAUGCCUGCCUGUUUCCUUCUGCCAAGCACCAUAGGCCCUGCAGAGUAACGGAAAGACAAAUGUGGAGGCUAAACGUAACCACGAAUUGGAAGCAAGCUAGCAGAAGGAACGACAAGCGAAAGGGGGCAUCCUGGAUCCUGAAGGGGAGGGCCAGGUCAGGACAUGUCGAGGAAUGGUCCAUUAGCAUGAGACGGAUAUGACGCCCACACAGACACAAGCUGUCCAUAAACGUGCAUACACACAUUCAUGGGGUAAAAAUGAUAUCUUGACCAGGAUUACUCACAGAUGUGCUGUACAUGCUGACAUAUUGAGUUAAGUCUUGCGUUUUGUGUCUUGUGGCCCUAAAGCUGAAGUGUUAUGAAAAAUUCCAAGAGAAGUUUUGGAUCAAUUUUUUGUUUUAUUAAUAAAAUUAAUUAUUACUAAAAAUGUUGUCAUCCUUGUAUUAUUUCAAAAUGUGCAGAACUUUUUUUAAUAUUUAGGUUAUUAGGUCGAAAAUCUCAAAUGUUUGCUCUGAGAUGCAAUGACUCACCAUGCUAACUGUUCAAGGUUUUUCAAUAAAGUUGGGCAUAAUAUAAAAUCACUCCAUGCUAGCAAUGCAGGUUUUUUUUCCCAUUUUCUUAAUGCAAACAGAUUAACACUCAGUGCAAACUUACAAUGCAUGGUAAACUCAAUUGCACUUUUGUUUAACAACAUAGCUUCAAAACAACAUAGCUCCUUAAAAUCAAAGCUCUUAUUUCAAAUCUUAUGCUAAUGCUAGUUUUAUGCUAAUGCCUUUGUGCCAUAUUUAAUGCUAGCACUUAACCAUACAGUUCUUUAAGCAUGCACUAAAUGCUGACAAGCUACAUGCGCUUUGGUUUGCUAAGUGCUAACUUGUGUAUUAAAUGAUUUAUGCUAACAUUUAAUCAUGCUAGCACUAACAUUGAAGUAAUUGCUGUAGUCACACUUACGCCCAUUACAUUAAGGUUUUGUAAUGUUUUCUAUUUGCUAUGCUUACAUUUAGGCACACUAUGAUUUAGCACAAUUAUACUGUGGCAGCUACUGACACUUCUUAACUUUGUUCAACAUUACGUGGUGAGGUUAGCUAAAGAUUUUUUGCCACUUAAAGGAACUUAAUGGGAGUUCAUGCUAACACUCAUAUGUUUAACGGAUUUACUUUAUGUACACUUGGUAUACAAAAGCGUUCUUUGCAAAAAAAUAAAUAAAUAAAUCAAUGUAAGAAAUACCCUAUGGUAAGUGAUUGACAUUUUAAAACUAGCUAUCAUGCAGUGUGAUAGAAUGCUAACAUUGAAGCAUAUGCUGUUUUUUUGAUAGUUUUGACCAGUGGUUCCCAAAGCUUUGCAGCAAGACAAAGCUAGGAAACACCGGCUGAUAACUUCAGCACUACAGUUCAUUGAUACCACCUCAGAUGCGGUUGCAGUUUAAGUCCAAGACACUGUCCCAGAGUACCCACUGCUAAGCAAGAGAGCCCUGGCCACAUUUAGGACUUAUGCCCUACCUGUGACUGAGAGCAGCUGUCUCGUAGCUGCACCCACACUCAAAAAGAUCCAUAGCACAAAACAAGCCCACAGUAGUCACAGAAAUUAUUGCAGGACUGGUGGUAGAAAUCUUUUUUCAGGGAAUCGUUCAUCUUCAGAGAGUCAUAUUAUUAAAACUCUGGGGCAAUGGUUGUUGUUUUUUUGUUUGUUUGUUUGUUUUUUUCCAAAAUUAUGAGGUUGUAUGUUUUGCUAAAUGUGGAAAAAGGGAAUGAUGAGCAAAAAUCAUGUCUGACAGUGUGUUUGUUACACUGUCUUAUAUGUUUGCAUGUUGAUGCGUACAGUAAGGGGUUAUCUGCCAAAGGGGGCCCGCUAAGAAAAGUUUGGGAACUUCUGGUUUAGACUGAUGUGCUCCAUGCCAACAAUUUGCAAAACAUAAAGCACAGGUGCACGAGCACUCUGUGAUAGCAGAUAUGGUGUUAUACGUUACUAUAACAUUUACAUAUUGUACAAUGCUACAGCUGAUCAUGCUAACACUGGUAUUUGCAUUGCUGACACUUAUUUCUAUUUAUUCUUUAUGCUAAAACUUGAACAUACAUCUAUUUGACAAAGUUGAAUUGUCAGUUUAAACCUACAAACACUGAAAUACUAUAGUAUGUGACAACACAACAUCAUGUAGCAAAAGUAUUCUGUGUCACUUUCAGUAUAGUUUGUAUGCUAAGUUAUUCAAAGGUGUAUGCUAACACAUAAAUAUUUUACAGUGAUGUAGCAGAUCAUGCUAACACUGGCAUAUUUUUUUUUAUUUUGUCUUGCUAACACUUUAGCAAAGUCAGUUAAAGUAUCUUUAUUUUAUGAAAGCUCUAUUUGCUAAAACACUCAUAGAUGCUCCUGAUUUGAAGGUUUCUGCUAGCAUGUUAAGCACUGUAAUAGCAUGCUAAUGGAGUAUUUGUGACAUGUUUUUAACAACUCCGUUUUUGUGUGCCAAUGCAAUCUGUGCAUUCAGCACAACAGCUAGCACUAGCCUAGCAUUGAAAUACCAAGAUAACAUUAUUAUUUUAUGAUUCAGCAAGGCCAAUUCUCUUUUACUUGCAGGUUUGGAUUAAUGUGCUCAAUAUUUACAUUGAUAUUAAAGACUUAAUACCUCUUCUAUCACUUAAUUCAAGGACACAAUGUUUAAUUGAUGCUAGCACUUCAUAUGCUCUGUGCUAAGUGAAAAAACAUGUUAGCUAUUAUGGACAGCAAAUAAUUUUUAGGUGUCUGGUUAACCUUUUAGGUUUUCUUUCAUUGCAGCACAAUAGCACAGUCAGUAAAUAAAACUUAACUAUUUGAAUGUGCAUUCUAAGCCUACAGUUAAUUUCAGGUUAUACUUUUGUAAAUAAGAUAUGGUUCUAUGUUAACACUUGAGAAAGUUUACGUCCUCCUCCUAUGCAACUAACAUAAGCCUACUUCUGAUUAAAGUAGUAGAAAUGUUGUCUAUGGAAACUUGCCUCUGACAUGUUCUACAGGGCUGCAGAUUAUAAAUCCACAGCAUUCAUUCCUGGAGUUUUUCAGUGAUGAAGUGUCAAAUCUUUGUGGUGUCCAUUCAACCUCAACCUGCUUCCUCUUCCUGAGUGAUUCAGCACAUUUCCAAGAAUGGCUUUCAACACCGGGAGCGUUCUUGUCUGGACUUGUCAGAUCCAGAUUUGGGUUUACUUGGGAUAAAGUGAUAAUGAAAGGAAUACUGGCACACAUAGCAGAUGUGAUGCAGCAGCGUGGUUUGUACAUGCUAUGAAGUUUAAUUGCAGGAAAGCUAAGUCAUGUCCUGUCAUCAGAAAACAUGUCCUACAGAAGUCAAUUCUAAGAAGAGCCUGGCUUUAAUGUGCCUCGUUUAUGUCUACUUUAAUAUUGUUAUAACUAUAUUUUACAUUUGUUUUAAUCAGUUUUUUAAAAUCAUGAAAACUGUGUUUUGAUCAGUGUUUUAAAUGUGCCACCUUAUUUAAAUGUAUUUUUGCACUGAGCUUUCAAUGACAGUUGUUUUUCUUUGUAUGCAAAAAUAAAGAGUAAGUUCUAUUUGAUUUAAUUUUCCUCCAGGUAAUUCAAACCACUGAAGAAGAAACUGACUUUGCAUAUUUGAGUUUUUUUAUUCAUUAUAUUAUGUAAUUUUCCCUUGUCAAAUAUAAAACAACCUAAUUUAACUCUUAUAUCAUCUUUAAGGAUUGAAUUAAUUAGUUUCUCUAAAACAUGGAGUUUGACUAAAGAUAUCUGGCCUAUAUAGAACAUAGAAUUAGUGAAAUGGAGCAGAUUUUGUUACCUAAUUGCAUCAAAUUUGCAAAUUGCACCGAGUACUAUACCCAUUGUUGAGACUCUUAUUUAUUCUGUGUAUUUAUGCAAAUGCAUCAUUGUAUGAUUAUUGAAAAUAACUGGAAAUACAAGACAAGGUCUGGAAAUUAAAAUGCCCAGAUAAUACAUUUGGAAUUUAAGUUGAGUGCUUAAAUUGGCUCGCUGUAGGUUUUAGGAUUGAUUUAGGAUUUUUCUCAUCACUUUUAACCCCCUAUAAGCCUCAGAUCCUUGGGGCAGGGGCCUCCUGGUCGUUCCAAAGUCGAGACUCAAAACUAAAGGUGACAGGGCCUUCUCCCUCGGGACCCCUCAACUUUGGAAAGACCUGUCUGAGGAGAGAGGGCAUGCUGGAUUUGUGACAUCUUUUUAAUCACUUCUUAAAGGUCAUUUUUAUAGAUGUGCUUCUAUGCAACCUUGUGUUCUAUCUUUCACUUGUAUUUUAUUAUUAUUAAUAUUUUACAGUUUCUAGCUUUCUCAUUUUUGUUCUCUGAUUUAUUGAUCCCAACACAUUUUAAUUGCUUUUAUUUUAUUCAUUCUGUUUUGAUUUUUAUUCUAUUCUGUCUCUUCCUAAUGUUUUAUAAGUUCUUACAUCUCUGGUCCUCAGGUUUCUGUUUGUGUAGUUGGGUUCCUGUGUUUCCUGGAUUCGUCUAGGUUAUUCUGGAUUUUUAUUAUGUCUUUCUAAGUUGAUAUGUCCUUGGGUUUUAUAAUAUGUCUGCUGGGUUAUUAUGGCGUUGGGGUUCAUUACUAGCUGAACUUUUCAUAGGUCCUUCUGUUGUUGGGGCUUUGUCUUUCUUGUGUUCGUAUGCUUGUGUGAUGAUUUUUUGUCUUAAUUGGGAUGUUUCUUAUUGUCGGAGCACUUUGGAAUCCUGUUUUUAAAGGUGCUAUGCAAAUAAAGUUAUUAAGUUCUUUAGUUUUCCAUUUUUCAGUAUGUUAAUCAUUUCUGACUGAAAUAAUUACAUUUAGAGCCAUGUGUUCAA